CAAACCCAUGAACCGCGAGAUCACGACCUGAGCCGAAGUUGGACGCUUAACCCACUGAGCCACCCAGGCGCCCCCGACUGUCAAUUUUAUCGAGAGCUCCUGUGGGGGAACCUGAAGUGGGCCAUUGAAGUCCAGGGGAGUCCGGGCCCCUUCACGCUGAUUUGGGAGGUUAUUCCCACCAAGAGAAUACUACCGAUAGCCAUCAGCAGCAGGAAUCGAAGUCAGGACCAUCAACUGGAACUGAGGGGGUCUGGGUGGCCAGGCGAAGUGCCCCGACACACCUGUGAAGUGCUGGGAGCCAGAGGGGCACCCGGGACCGGUGUUGGCACAGAGCAGCCGAGGUCCAGGCGACCCCAGGUGUCCUCAGGUGGCGACUGGAUUACGACAUCCCCUCUGAAUCCUAACGAACCCAAGCCAGCUGAACAAGAGGACUUCCGAACAGGAUAGGACGCGCCCAGAGGGUAGUAACACUUGCAAGGGCUCGGACCUUCUAGAAAAUGGGGAGCCGAAGUUCCCGCUCGCCGCGCGCCACUGUUCUUUGCCACUGACAAAUCAGACUGGGACAGGCCCAAGAGAAACUUCGGUCGUUCUCUUUCCCUUGUUGCUACCGCAUCUUCUGGCCCAGAGAAAAGGGAGAAGGUCUAGGGGGCCCUGAAGGUUGCCUGCCUAGCAUCUUCUCUCUCCUUGCUGUUGAAAACCGAGUAGAGCCAAGUACUCCUUUCCCGCAUAUAGCCACGCCGCUCCCAGGAGCAGGACUGAAUUGACUUCCCUUGCCCCGCACGGUCCGGGAGCGGCCCUGUGACCUCUACUGGCUAAGGAGACCUGCGUGCGAGGCAGGGCCUGGGACCUCCCGUGCACAAUCCCGGGCUCCUCAGGGAAAGCUACGGAGCAGCCUCCUGUAUGCUUCUGGAGAGGGGUGUGUCAGGAGGAGCCGCCUGCAACUGUAGCCAUCCCCCAACUUCAAGGUGAAGCUAGCUCCUAAUGAGGAAUGCAGAGGGGAGAGAUGGAAAGCACCCCCGUGCUUUUGACAGACUUAGGUGCUCAGUCUCCAGAGCCUGAAGCCUGCUGAUGAUUAUGUGAAUCGAAGUGAUACGUUAUUUGAACAACUUGUAGCUCAGACGAUUCCACCAGAAGAGGUGGCAUUUUUCUAGAAAGAAAGGAAGGAAAGAAAAGAGCGAAUCCCCAACCUAUUUGCAGGGCAAAGUGUUAAUACUGUAAUUCUUAAGUUGAGGGGAUAGAUGCAUGGGGGUUCCUUAUAUUAUUCUCCCUUUGAUAAUGUUUAAAAUAAAAAGCAUGCAAACAAAAAUCCCAGUCCCAAAAGACUUCUUUGCAAGACGGAGUUAAAGAGAAGUAGUAUUGAAAAAACAUCCAUACCGAACU